GACGAACGCUGGCGGCGUGCCUAAUACAUGCAAGUAGAACGCUGAAGAGAGGAGCUUGCUCUUCUUGGCUGAGUUGCGAACGGGUGAGUAACGCGUAGGUAACCUGCCUGGUAGCGGGGGAUAACUAUUGGAAACGAUAGCUAAUACCGCAUAAAAUGGAUUAUCGCAUGAUAAUCCAUUGAAAGGUGCAAAUGCAUCACUACCAGAUGACCUGCGUUGUAUUAGCUAGUUGGUGGGGUAACGGCUCACCAAGGCGACGAUACAUAGCCGACCUGAGAGGGUGAUCGGCCACACUGGGACUGAGACACGGCCCAGACUCCUACGGGAGGCAGCAGUAGGGAAUCUUCGGCAAUGGACGGAAGUCUGACCGAGCAACGCCGCGUGAGUGAAGAAGGUUUUCGGAUCGUAAAGCUCUGUUGUAAGAGAAGAACGAGUGUGAGAGUGGAAAGUUCACACUGUGACGGUAUCUUACCAGAAAGGGACGGCUAACUACGUG
rnacentral:rRNA from 1 species